UAUCAGUUUACCUAUUUAUGGGUACUUUGAUCACCCAUAUUUGGGUAGUGCAAACAUUACCCAUAUUAUGGGUGAAAUGUACCGAAAAAAUCAGCAAAUUUCACCCAUAUUUUUAAUUACAUAAUGUUACCUAUAUAUGGGUAAAUUAAUUUACCCAUAUUUGGAUGAAAAUAAAAACAUUUGCGUCAGAACAGAAUCGCACCCAACAGCGUGGAACGUGGAACUGUCGCUAAAAAAAUAUUUGUCGAGGAUCGAAGUACUAUAACUAAAACGCUGAUACCACGAUCAACAGCAAACGCCAUGGAACCGUGCAGUCCAGCUUCAGGAGAUUGCCACUGCAUCGGGGAAAGUUCAUGAAGAAUUUUGCCACUUCUUGGUGCUAAAACAGGUGCAUUUCCUAACCACCGGGUUCUCCGCCAUCUGCAAAUCGACCAACCGAAACACGGCAUCGGCCGGAGCGGAAAUGUUGAACCGCAUAAAGAAAACCGAUAAGAGUCGAAACUACUAGCCUACGAUUUACAGCCUUAAGUUUGAACGGUUAUUGUUCUUCCCAGGGAACAGGGAACAAAACUGCGGAUCACUUCUCAGCAACCCACUCGGUCAUCCUAUAGCGCAUAGUCCCUCGUAGGACGAAUCAACAGAAUUAGAUGGCACCAGCGAAAAACUCACCGUUUCGGGCGCUCUCAAUCCUCUCAGAGCCUUCUUGCUUGUGGAAUACAACGAACCAAUUUGAUUUUGGAAGACGGAGCUCGCCCAAUCAGUCACGUACCAGCCAUUUCGUUAUUGGGCGUCGGUCGAAACGAAGUGCCAAGAAGAAAUCCAGAUUUGGGGCAGCGAUGUGCGCAAUGAGCGAAUCCGCUUCGUUCACACAAACGGAAAUAUGCGGCAGGAUUUCGACGACACCAGUAAUUCCUGCGGCAAGAGCUGUUAUUCAACAUAAUGCGAGACCUGCUAUUCUCGAGAUGGUGGUCAAAAUUGCGUUAAUAUUUGUAAAAUGCAUAUAAUAAAACCAAAUGCCUAAUAAAGUUAUACUUAAAGCUUUUAUCAAUACCUAUGUGC